AGUAGGAUAAGUUAAUAUAAACUGUUGGACUCAUGAUCCAAUUAUGUGGGUGGAAAGCCCACUUCUACCU
rnacentral:tRNA from 1 species